UACGUAGGGGGCAAGCGUUGUCCGGAUUUAUUGGGCGUAAAGAGCGUGUAGGCGGUCAGGUAGGUCCGUUGUGAAAACUCGAGGCUCAACCUCGAGACGCCGAUGGAAACCAUCUGACUAGAGUCCGGAAGAGGAGAGUGGAAUUCCUGGUGUAGCGGUGAAAUGCGUAGAUAUCAGGAGGAACACCUGUGGCGAAAGCGGCUCACUGGACCAUAACUGACGCUGAUGCACGAAAGCUAGGGGAGCAAACAGG
rnacentral:rRNA from 1 species